CACAUGCCUUUAUAAGGUGAAGCCGCGAAUAGCUCAUUACAACAGCCAAAUUUUACUGGAAUAUAGUUAUCUUACUUGGAUAACUGUGGCAAUUCUAGAGCUAAUACAUGCAAAAAAGCUCUGACCGCAAGGAAUGAGCGCAUUUAUUAGAAUAAAAACCAAUCGGGUUUCGGCCCGUUUAUUGGUGAAUCUGAAUAACUUUGCCAAUCGCACAGUCCUAGUACUGGCGAUGUAUCCUUCAAAUGUCUGCCUUAUCAACUUUCGAUGGUAGGUUAUACGCCUACCAUGGUAUUAACGGGUAACGGAGAAUAAGGGUUCGACUCCGGAGAGGGAGCCUGAGAAACGGCUACCACAUCCAAGGAAGGUAGCAGGCGCGCAAAUUACCCACUUUCAGAACGAAGGGGUAGUGACGAAAAAUAACGAGACAGUCCUCUUCGAGGUCUGUCAUCGGAAUGGGUACAAUUUAAAUCCUUUAACGAGGAUCUAUUGGAGGGCAAGUCUGGUGCCAGCAGCCGCGGUAAUUCCAGCUCCAAUAGCGUAUAUUAAAGUUGUUGCGGUUAAAACGCUCGUAGUUGGAUUUGCGGCCUCGGAGAACGGUCCCCCGAAAGGGUGGUCACUGUCUCUCCUAGCCUAAAUUCGAGUCGUCUCUAGGUGCUCUUAACCGGGUGCUUAGAGUGACUAGAACGUUUACUUUGAAAAAAUUAGAGUGCUUAAAGCAGGCGAAAUAGCCUGAAUAAGGUGCAUGGAAUAAUGGAAUAGGACCUCGGUUCUAUUUUGUUGGUUUUCGGAACCCGAGGUAAUGAUUAAGAGGAACAGACGGGGGCAUUCGUAUUCCGGCGCUAGAGGUGAAAUUCUUGGACCGCCGGAAGACGAACAACUGCGAAAGCAUUUGCCAAGAAUG
rnacentral:rRNA from 1 species